GAGCCCUUCCCAUCCAAGAACAUGAGGCUUCAGUUCAUCCAGAAGACCCUGCACCAGUUCAGGCCCCCUAGAACCAGCCAGAACCUCCACCUAUUCCACGACCAACGGUCUCACGCGAUCAGCCCUUGGAACUUCUGCCUGACCAACCAGUUGUGUUGCCUUACAGACCUAGAAGGAUGGACCCUAAUCCAUUCUCUUCACUAGCUAGAGGUAGGAGAGGUAGAAGGGGAAUCAACCCUUUCG
rnacentral:lncRNA from 1 species